rnacentral:rRNA from 1 species
AAAGGAAUUGACGGGGGCCCGCACAAGCAGUGGAGUAUGUGGUUUAAUUCGAAGCAACGCGAAGAACCUUACCAGGGCUUGACAUCCUCUGACAGCUUUAGAGAUAAAGUGUCCCUUCGGGGCAGAGAGACAGGUGGUGCAUGGUUGUCGUCAGCUCGUGUCGUGAGAUGUUCGGUUAAGUCCGGCAACGAGCGCAACCCCUAUGGUCUGUUACCAUCAUUAAGUUGGGGACUCAGACAAGACUGCCGUUGACAAAACGGAGGAAGGUGGGGACGACGUCAAAUCAUCAUGCCCCUUAUGUCCUGGGCUACACACGUACUACAAUGGCUACAACAGAAGGCAGCAACACCGCGAGGUCAAGCGAAUCCCAAAAUGUAGUCCCAGUUCGGAUUGCAGGCUGCAACUCGCCUGCAUGAAGCAGGAAUUGCUAGUAAUGGCAGGUCAGCAUACUGCCGUGAAUACGUUCCCGGGCCUUGUACACACCGCCCGU